rnacentral:misc_RNA from 1 species
AGGGCACGGAUGAAGAGGGCUACACCGUUUUUAUCUCAAAGGCGAAGGGACAUGAAGGAGAACGUGGCAUAUUCGCGUAUCCGCGAAGCGAUGCAUGGUUGGAAGUAAAGCUAGGUGAAUUUUUCAACAAUUUUGGAGAAGAUGGUGAAGUUGAAAUGAGGUUGAUGGAGAACAAAAACCCUAAUUGGAAAUCUGGGAUUAUUGUUAAGGGCAUUGAUAUUCGUCCAAAUUAAAUUUAAGAUU